rnacentral:sRNA from 1 species
UGAUGUCAGGGGCAAAAGUCUGAACCCACGACAAGCUUGCUUGAGAGUGGGUGAAAGACCUUAUGACCCGCCGGAACAUAAGGAAAAAGUGGGGUAGGGGCCCCAUGAUUUCCGAAUGUUACGUAGGAUUGUGGGAGCGCAUUGCGCGAAACAAUCCGUGACAUCA